AAUAUAACGGGGCUAAAGUAAGUACCGAAGCUGUAGACUUGCGCACAACUUAGAUUAUUUAAGUUUAGAAUAUGAGAAACUAAGUUAUAUUUUUACUGAUUUUUAUAGAGUAAAGAUAGAAAUAAAACUUAGUAAAAUCAGUAAAAAUAUUCUUAGGCUAAAGUUAAGUAGUUUAAGUUGUGUGCAAGUGGUAGGAGAGCGUUCUAUUUGCGUCGAAGGUAUACCGGUAAGGAGUGCUGGAGCGAAUAGAAGUGAGCAUGCAGGCAUGAGUAGCGAUAAUUAAUGUGAGAAUCAUUAACGCCGUAAACCCAAGGUUUCCUACGCGAUGCUCGUCAUCGUAGGGUUAGUCGGGUCCUAAGUCGAGUCCGAAAGGGGUAGACGAUGGCAAAUUGGUUAAUA
rnacentral:rRNA from 1 species